UUCUUGAAACACGGACCAAGGAGUCUGACAUGUGUGUAAGUUUUU
rnacentral:rRNA from 11 species